CCUACGGGCGGCAGCAGUGGGGAAUAUUGGACAAUGGGGGGAACCCUGAUCCAGCCAUGCCGCGUGUGUGAAGAAGGCCCUCGGGGUGUAAAGCACUUUCAGUGAGGAAGAACGCCUGGUGGUUAAUACCCAUCAGGAAAGACAUCACUCACAGAAGAAGCACCGGCUAACUCCGUGCCAGCAGCCGCGGUAAUACGGAGGGUGCGAGCGUUAAUCGGAAUUACUGGGCGUAAAGCGCGCGUAGGUGGCUUGAUAAGCCGGUUGUGAAAGCCCCGGGCUCAACCUGGGAACGGCAUCCGGAACUGUCAAGCUAGAGUGCAGGAGAGGAAGGUAGAAUUCCCGGUGUAGCGGUGAAAUGCGUAGAGAUCGGGAGGAAUACCAGUGGCGAAGGCGGCCUUCUGGACUGACACUGACACUGAGGUGCGAAAGCGUGGGUAGCAAACAGGAUUAGAUACCCGAGUAGUC
rnacentral:rRNA from 1 species